AGCCUAGUUACCAGGCAGUGUAGUUAGCUGAUUGCCAAAGGUAACAAUCACUAACCACACAGCCAGGUAAAAAG
rnacentral:miRNA from 1 species